rnacentral:rRNA from 1 species
GACGAACGCUGGCGGCGUGCUUAACACAUGCAAGUCGAACGGAAAGGCCCUGCUUUUGUGGGGUGCUCGAGCGGCGAACGGGUGAGUAACACGUGAGUAACCUGCCCUUGACUUUGGGAUAACUUCAGGAAACUGGGGCUAAUACCGGAUAGGAGCUCCUGCUGCAUGGUGGGGGUUGGAAAGUUUCGGCGGUUGGGGAUGGACUCGCGGCUUAUCAGCUUGUUGGUGGGGUAGUGGCUUACCAAGGCUUUGACGGGUAGCCGGCCUGAGAGGGUGACCGGCCACAUUGGGACUGAGAUACGGCCCAGACUCCUACGGGAGGCAGCAGUGGGGAAUAUUGCACAAUGGGCGGAAGCCUGAUGCAGCAACGCCGCGUGCGGAAUGACGGCCUUCGGGUUGUAAACCGCUUUCGCCUGUGACGAAGCGUGAGUGACGGUAAUGGGUAAAGAAGCACCGGCUAACUACGUG